rnacentral:misc_RNA from 1 species
AAGAAAAGGAAAUCUGGCGAGAAAAAUUUAAAUUUUGAAGUAACACUUUGAUUGAAUAAAGCAGCUUUCUGUUUUGAAAUGCAGGAUUGAAGGAAUAUAAUUCUUUAUCCUAUAAGAAGAUACAGUAGCUAACCCUGUGCCUUGAACCUAAUUUAGAAUGCUGCUUUAAAAAUUAAAAAAAGUUCUGUUUCACUGUCAGAUAUCGUCUAGUUUUGUUUUUCACCUUUCUUUUUUCAUUGGAAACUUUUCAUUUUCUCUUUUUAAUCUCUUUCGUUUUCCUCUUUCACGUCUGGUG